rnacentral:lncRNA from 1 species
GUCGUGAGAGAAAGCCAGGUUCCUCAGCUCAGGAGCCCGGGCCCAAGUCCCCUGGAAGUUGAUUAGGGCGCCGGAUAGAGGGUGAGAGCCCCGUCGUGCCCGCGACCCUGUCCGCACCACGAUGCGCUGUGCUGCGGAGUUGUCCGAUGUUGCUAUGCGUGGCAAGCGCACCGGCAUCCCAACAUAUUUAGUACUGCAUGGAUUAAGGGACGCUGAUAAAUUCCGU